ensembl:lncRNA
CGCUGCCGAGGCCGGGCCCGGCGCUGUCGCCGCGGCCGCCGCCGGUGGUCGUCCUCCGUCUGCUGCAACGCCUGGAGUCAACACAGCCCUCUCCUUCUCUCGCUGCGUCCGGGUGAACCUGAGAGCGGGUGGCGACAGUGUUUUAGUUACAUGUCCACCAUCGAGAGCAUGUAGUUCAAGCGUGUCACUGUCCAAAGCAUCCAACGCACCACAGCGAGAGGGUCCUACUGUUCAGCUCCUGCUCCUCCCCCGGUGAGGGCUGUCCGCCAGCCCUCAGCCAACCGGGUCUGUGAGGAGGACGAAGACAACACAAACAAACACACCGUGAGGAGGACGAAGACAACACAGACAAACACACCGUGAGGAGGAUGAAGACAACACAGACAAACACCCCGUGAGGAGGCCGAGCGCUGCUGCGUACGCAGUCCGACGGUCGUCUCCACCGAGUCGUGUGUCUGUGAGUACGACGGGCGCGUGUCUGUACCUCAGCCCGAGCAGGAGCGGGCGUUGCCGGCUGCUCCACGUCGCCCUUCGUCGUCGUCGUCUUCCUCCUCUUCUUCUCGGGCUCCGGCGCCAGGGUGGCCUCCCCGCAUGGCGUCUCCUCCACGGAGACGCCACGAGGCUCCACCCUGGUCUGCGCCGGAGCCCGAGCAGGAAGUCCGACCGUCGGCGGAGCAGCCGCAACCUGUGGUGGUGGUGGUGGUGGUGGGGGAGGGGUGGAGGACGGUGCCGGAGGAGGUGGAGACGGAGGCGUCUCCAGCGGGAGCGGGAGGGCCUGAAGGACCUGUACGCCAGCUUCAGACACGGUCACGCACAACCAAACGGCAUCAGCACAAUGAGAGUGACGGGGCAACACACGGGCAAGCGAGACUAAGUGAGUCUGAGCAUUCAUGACGUGCAGCAUGCCGUUGAUUAGAUAAAAUGGUUUAGUGCUACAAGGCGACCGUUAAGAGAUGUGCUACAAGGUGACCGUUAAGAGGUGUGCUACAAGGCGACUGUUAAGGGCUCCAGAGUGCGCCUAAUUUGGGCGCACAUGCGCCUAGAAUUCGGAGUAGUGCGACCAAAUAUUUUAUUUGGGCGCACUGGUGCGACUUAAAAUUUAUCGGGUAUAAUUAUUAUUAUUUAUUUUUUAUACAGAGCAGUCUAUUCAUUAUAUUGUAAUGACCACGGAAGAGGCAGUGAAUUAAGUAUUGAUUAGACAGCGAUUUAUUAGUGUUACGGCCGUCAGCCGACCGCAUUGUCUCCCCUCCCUCUGUAUGCGAUACCCCUCCUGUUUUUCCCCAAAGCAGCUCAAGUGGGCGGGUCCUUCCGUCCCCGGAACCAACCAGAGAGCGACGGCGCCGUGGAGGCGUAUAAAAGCCUGGUGCGCCCUGCAAGCGGGGCAGACACCUGUAGGGAAUCUAGGCGCGUAGUCGCAUUCGUUUGAGAGCAAGAGGUUACGUUUGUGUGUUCCCAGAUUUGGGCCAGGGUAAGAUGAAUCCCUCCGUACUGAUGUUGUUCAUUUGCACUCUCAUUUAGGUUUGUCACUGUUUAGCCACACUAGGUUUAGGGGGUGCUGGUCAUUUGUAUUUCUGUUUUCGUUACGCUAGAGUAGUCAGUUAGGGUUUGUUUUAGGACCAUUCGUAUUUAGUUAUUAGACAGGUAGCUCCAUUUUAUUUUAAGGAGUUCACUUUUGAUUAUAUUUGUUUCUUUGCUUUGACAGCACCUAGCGGCCCAUUUCUGACGAUUGUUAUGUUCUAUUCCUUUGUUGGGUUAUAAUAUAUACUAUAUUUACAACCCCAAUCCAUCGGAUUGUGUGUGUGUCACUUCCCUUUUCCCCCUGAACGAGUAGGGGUCGUAACAAUUAGAUACCUAAUAAACCGUUGGAACACGCAUGACCGGUAACAAUAGCAACGCCGGUAAACAAACCCGCGAAGCCCAAUCCAGGGCCCUUUACUACGAAGCUCGAUUAGAGGGUUAGCGAGGUAUGUUGAGCUGAAAGCCUGGGUUAGCUGUUCCAUGAAAGUCGAUCUCUUUAAGCGUCGCUGUAUCACCAUGGUGACUUACGCUGGCCACCAAACCUGGUCGGGAGCAUAUUUUCAGCGAGUCUACCCGGAGAUCGGCUACUUAUAUCGGCGUGCGCAGCUUCCUAGCCCCUCCUCCGAUAAUGGCGUCACCAUUUGUGGGUGUUCCCAUGGACCUCGGCGCACUUAUUGUACAGGCGUCUCUCCGGAGACAGAGGGUUUUUCGGGACAGAACCGAUCCUUUGGCAUUGUCUGAUGAUAUUCUUUAUGAGAGAUACAGAUUCUGCAUUUAUUUAAUGGUCAAAAUAUUAUUAAUCAAUGGUGUAAAUAUCGACGCUGCAACCGGUGCAGCUGCCCGGUUGCCCCCCCCCCCAAUCAACAACUAAAAACUUGGGUGCACCAUAAAUACGUGCUGGUGCACCCAAAUUAAAAACUUAGGCGCACCAGUGCACCCAAGGAAAAAGUUAGUCUGGAGCCCUGUAAGAGGUGUGCUACAAGGCGACCGUUAAGAGGUGUGCUACAUGGGGAGUUUAAUCAAAUCCACAUUACCAACACGUGAGUGAGGACGGCACGUCUACCACCAACAAAGACGGCUACAUCACCUGAUAAACCUACCUUUGUCCUUCAAGCAUCAGCUUUAGCGACCGGCAAAUUAAAAAGUUUCAGUUAAUGCAAACAUACUGACUCAAGAAUAGAUAUCCAAGGCAAACGUUACAGUGCGACGCGUCCGGUGUGGUGCCAGUUACCCAUUUCUCCGUCAGUGACCGUCCGGACCAGCUCCUCGUCCGUCACCUCUGUGGUGGGGGGCGGCGGAACCGAGGGGCGCUGGUCUCUGACGGAAGACACCGCUAUGGGGGGGGGGGGG